CACAAGUGCAAGAGCUCGAAACUAUUAUUCAAACAUCUUACCGGACAUCUAAUGGAAAACACAUCUUGAAUGGGAGACUCGUGUGCCUAACAUUCUGUGAGUGGGAGACUCAUUUGCUAGGGCUGAUUGGUAAGUUUGACUGUUUGAUAUUCAUAUAAUAGCUUCAUUAAAUUGAUAUGAUCAGAAGUGAUUUCUUUUCUUAUCAAUUACACUCAAUAAGAGGGAUUCUAUUGAGUGAUUUCACGUAUCUUCAUUGUAAAAUGAAUUUUUAUAGUGAACAUACACUGCAAUUAAUAAAUAUUGCAGCAUAAAAUCAUUCAUUGUGCGUACUUUUAUUGUAUGUUGCUUUUCUAUUUUUCAUAGGAUAAUGUUGGGUUGAUUGUUUUAUCAUUCUAUUCAAUAUUUCUGUGUUUGCGAAAGCAACAGAACUUUCAAAUUUAGUGAAAUUUUUUUAUUUUAAAUUUUAUUCAUAAUUAAAUUAAAAAAAUAAAAUAGAAAAUCUAUUUGAAGCCCUGCUCCGGGUGGAGUGGCUCUAAGUGCAUCUCCAACCGUGAGCCCUUCCCCAUAAUGGGGUUGGACUCUCUACCUCUAGCUCUCUAAUUUUAUCUUUUAUUAUUUUUUUUAAAUAUAUUUUUAAAUUAAAUUAAACUCGAGCAUGAAUGCUUUUAAAUCUAAAAACAUAUUGAGUUUCGUUGCAUUUCAUUUCAAUUUGCAUCCCUUUUUUUAUUGGAGAUACAGACUCACACACAUAAUAUAAUUCUUCUAAAUGAUUUAAAUUUCUAACAUAUUAAUUAAAAGAAAAAUAAUUUAUUAAUUGCGUUGCGCUUGAUUUUCUUUUUCCUUUUAUUUUUGAGGGAGAAUUUAUUUGCAAUAAAUUUUAGAUUUGGGUGGUAACCGCCAAACGUAGGACCGUUACACAUACAUUCACAUGUAGUCCCCACCCCCACCUAAUACAGCUUCAUGUAUCUUCAUUUCCCGUAAAAGCAGAAAAUUGAAAAUAUCCAAUUAUCUUCAAGUUGAUCUCCUGUGCAUUCAAAUGUAUAGAAAAAACGAGUCGGGUUAAGGUUGGAGUGCGGGUCGGGCUAAGCGGACUAGGCGCAGGCUAGGCGGGCUGAGCGCGGUCUUAAAAAGUAAUUAUUNGUUGGUCGGAGAAGAUGAGAUGUGAUUUUUUUUAAUGAACGGUAUGCAGAUUAGCCCCCGAACUCCAAAAAGGGAAAAAGUGCAGAUUAGCCCCUGAACUCCAAAAAAAACGGUGCAGAUCGCCCCCUCUGACUAACGGCCCAUAACGGUGUUAAGUCAGAGGGGGCGAUCUGCACCAUUUUUUAGAGUUCGGGGGCCAAUUUGCACACACAGUUAGUAAGGGGACUGAAACGCUCUAAGGGCCUCCACUUGAGGGGCCUAUCUGCACCUUAACCAAAAAAAAAAUUCAAAAAUUACGGCAAAUAAAAUGGAACCGAAGCAUAUUCCUUACAUAUCAUGACAACCAGAAAAGUCAACUGAAAGGGCACAUCAAAGAUUAUGACAUACCCAAUUGAUCGAUUAAAUCAAUCUAUUAUACUUUGGCAAUGGUCGUUUAUUUUUAUUUUUAUUUUCUCAGAAAAUGGCAUAGGGUCAUUCUAGUUUAGUAAACUAAAUUUGGCAAUUAAAAAAAUGUAGAAUAAAAUAAACUUAAUAAAGCUCAUCCUAAUUUUCGACAAAAUAAUUCAAAAUAUGUGUCUAAGAUCAUCUUCAACAAACAGUUCAUUCGAACAUCCACAGUGGAGCUCAAUCGAGGGGUUCGAGCCUCACCUUGGCAAGCUUCGCCUUGCUGCCGAGUCCACAGGCUCGAUAGGUGGCUCUAUAGAAUGAGCCCGACUCGUUAGCAUUGAUAAAAGGUGCGUGCUUGUAUAAUGCACGCAUUAUAUUUAAAAAGUAAAAAAUCGAAAUCGCAGCACAUUUACGCGUCGCCGCUGGUGGAUGAGGAGGCAAUCGAAAGAGUAGGGGAUGCAAUUGAAAAUGGGGAAGAAGGGAGAUUCACAAGCUUGAAUUUAUGAAUUUUAUGUAAAUUAGGGACAUAUUAGUAGAGGUUUUUGUUGGAAUGUGAAGAGGAAGAAGGAAAUUUAGGGAAACAGAUUAGUAGAGGCUUUUGCAAGAUUCAAUCCGGUAAUUUAUGCUUAAUCUCCAUUUUUUUUUCUAGUUCACACACCCCAUUUAUGUUUUCUGUUUAAAAUUUUAUUUAAUGUAUGCUCAAAAUAAACAACACUAAAAAAGUGAAAAAGACGUAAAUAUAGCUUUUAAAUUUUGAGACUUUGUAUGUUGCUUAGUGAAUUGUGGAUAACUUGUAGUUUGGAUCUUUACUAUGGAAAUAUAUGCGUAUUUAUAUGCUAAAAACAUUAAGAAUCCCAAUAAGAAUAAAACUUUGCAUGUAUUUUAACAGGACUAAAACUCUUCAAACAUAUCCGCAUAUUUGAACCGAAUCUCUCUUUUAUUAUAUGUGUGCUUUCUUUAAGAUAACGCCAAAUCCCGGGUGAUCAGGCAUCCGCCCUUCUUCUCAUUGCUCCAGACUCAGAGCUGUAGACAACAUAAAUUUGUCCUCAUCAUUGUAAUUUUAAAAUUUAAAUUUAAUGAAAUUUUUAAUUUUAAAUUUGAUUGAUAAUUCAAUUUUUAAAAAAUAGGAUGAAAAUCUAUUUAAAGCCCCUGCUUCGAGAGGGAUGGCUCUAAGAGUAUCUCCAACCGUGAACCCUAGGCAACUUAAAUUUGUCCUCAUCAUCUGAAUCCCAUCUGAUCAUUAAAUACAAAAAAUGAGAUUUCAGUUUUAGAAAUCCAACCUACUAAAAUUAACAAAAAUCUCAAGACAUUUAUAAGAAAUACUCCUUUCGUCCCGCCGAGUUUGAGGCGUUUCUUUUGGAUACGAGAAUUAAGAAAUUGUUUAUUAGUGGUUUAAGUGUGUGGUAUAAAGGUAAUAAGAUGUGCAAUUAGUUUUAUAAAUUAGUGCUUUAAAUUGCCUAUUUUUUGUCAGAAAAAGAAAUGACUCAAACUCAACGGGACAGCUCGAAAAAGAAUACGAUUCAAGCUCGAUGGGAUGGAGGGAGUACCAGUUUAAUUUCAAGCAGUAAAACGUACCUGAAAGAUAGCGACUGCAAAAUUAAUCACCUUCUCUCUCCCCAUCGCUCCCUUUCCUCCCUCUCUCUCCAAAAUUAAUCACCUUCUUCGUCGGCCGAAGAAGGGAGGGCGGCAUCGAUUCUGGCUGCGAGGAGAAGAGAGGCCGAGAGGUGAGGGAGUGACACUGUGAAGAUUAGAGAGUGAGAGAAGGAGAGUGAUGGAGAGAAAAGAGAAGGGGAGAAAUUGGUUGGAGAUGGGCGUGGGUCGGCGGGUCGGGGCGCGGGUCAAUGGGCGGAUCGAUCCGUCUAAAUAUAUGCAUUUGGUCUGAUACACGAAUUUGUAAUUAUCUCCACUUUUCUCUAAUCAGAUUUCGACUGAAUAUUCACGUGAGAAGUACCUAUCGUCAACACCAACCACUACAAAAAGAAAGACUUCCAUAGAUUUGAUUGAGACAUAAUUUAAAGAUAUACUCACGUAUCUCCAAUCUAAG
rnacentral:lncRNA from 1 species